UCAGACGAUGCGUCAUGCAUAUCAAUAAGCGGAGGAAAAGAAACUAACAAGGAUUCCCUUAGUAACGGCGAGUGAAGCGGGAAGAGCUCAAAUUUGAAAUCUUCAAGGUUUUACCUUGACGAAUUGUAGUUUAAAGAAGUGUUUUCUGUUGAAGUUUUGGUAAAAGUUCUUUGGAAUAGGACAUCAUAGAGGGUGAGAAUCCCGUAUUUGACCAUUAUUUUCAGCUGUGUGAUACACUUUCAAAGAGUCGGAUUGUUUGGGAAUGCAGUCCAAAAUGGGUGGUAAAUUCCAUCUAAAGCUAAAUAUUGGCGAGAGACCGAUAGCGAACAAGUACCGUGAGGGAAAGAUGAAAAGAACUUUGAAAAGAGAGUUAAACAGUACGUGAAAUUGUCAAAAGGGAAGCGUUUGACACCAGUGUUGUUUUUCUCGAAAAUCAAUUAAAAAAGUGGAUUCAUGCUAGUUGUAUUGACCUUAAUCAGCUUGCAAUUUGUUUCUGGUUCUUUUUUAAUGCACUUUUCGUUAACAAGUCAACAUCAGUUUCUUUUGUUGUAAAAGGGUCAUUGGAAGGUGGCUUUCUCUUCGGAGAAAGUGUUUAUAGCCUUUGAUCUCUGCAAUCGGAGAGACUGAGGUCUGCAGCGUAGAUCCUUCGGGGUUAGAUACAUUUGUGCUAAGCUACAGCUUUUCAUAGACAACUUGUUGACUAUGUUUAGUCUUGUAACUUACCCGCUUAUGCUAUUUUACCUACGCUUAGGAUGUUGAUAUGCAUGACUGAUAU
rnacentral:rRNA from 1 species